CUCCCUUUUCCCAUUGGCACCCACUACCGAUUGUAUCAUUGUGGCAAGGACAGGAAGAUGGCGGUAGUGGGUGCCAAUGGGAAAAGGGAGUGUAAAAGA
rnacentral:miRNA from 1 species